AGAGUUUGAUCCUGGCUCAGGAUGAACGCUGGCGGUCUGCUUAACACAUGCAAGUCGAACGGGCUCUUUCGGGAGCUAGUGGCGGACGGGUGAGUAACGCGUGGGAAUCUGCCAAAAGGACUGGGACAACCACUGGAAACGGUGGCUAAUACCGGAUGAGCCGCAACGUAAAAGAGGAAACUCGCCUUUUGAGGAGCUCGCGUCUGAUUAGCUAGUUGGUGAGGUAAGAGCUCACCAAGGCAUCGAUCAGUAGCUGGUCUGAGAGGAUGAUCAGCCACACUGGGACUGAGACACGGCCCAGACUCCUACGGGAGGCAGCAGUGGGGAAUUUUCCGCAAUGGGCGAAAGCCUGACGGAGCAAGACCGCGUGAGGGAGGAAGGCUCUUGGGUUGUAAACCUCUUUUGUCAGGGAAGAACACAAUGACGGUACCUGAAGAACCAGCAUCGGCUAACUCCGUGCCAGCAGCCGCGGUAAUACGGGGGAUGCAAGCGUUAUCCGGAAUUAUUGGGCGUAAAGCGUCCGCAGGUGGCUAAUCAAGUCUGCUGUCAAAGGUUGGGGCUUAACCCCAAAAAGGCAGUGGAAACUGAGAAGCUAGAGUGCAGUAGGGGUAGAGGGAAUUCCCGGUGUAGCGGUGAAAUGCGUAGAGAUCGGGAAGAACAUCGGUGGCGAAAGCGCUCUACUGGACUGCAACUGACACUCAGGGACGAAAGCUAGGGGAGCGAAUGGGAUUAGAUACCCCCGUAGUCC
rnacentral:rRNA from 1 species